rnacentral:rRNA from 1 species
UACGUGAGGGGGCAAGCGUUGUCCGGAUUUAUUGGGCGUAAAGAGCUCGUAGGUGGUUCGGUAAGUCGGAUGUGAAAUCUCCAGGCUCAACCUGGAGGGGUCAUUCGAUACUGCCGUGACUAGAGUUCGGUAGGGGAGUGUGGAAUUCCUGGUGGAGCGGUGAAAUGCGCAGAUAUCAGGAGGAACACCCGUAGCGAAGGCGGCACUCUGGGCCGAUACUGACACUGAGGAGCGAAAGCGUGGGGAGUGAACAGG